UCCCAAACUGGGAUUAGAUACCCCACUAUGCUUAGCCCUAAACCUAGAUAGUUAGCUCAAACAAAACUAUCCGCCAGAGAACUACUAGCAACAGCUUAAAACUCAAAGGACUUGGCGGUGCUUUAUAUCCCUCUAGAGGAGCCUGUUCUAUAAUCGAUAAACCCCGAUAAACCUCACCAUCUCUUGCUAAUUCAGCCUAUAUACCGCCAUCUUCAGC
rnacentral:rRNA from 1 species